CCUUCUUUUAGAUCGCACAAGAUUUUUCGAUCCUCUAUGGAGAGGCUGCACCUAAACUUUUUGAGACAUGGGUUGCUCUUUACUCUGAUAAGAUCAUUCGUCUUGCAAAAUGCGAUGGAAAACUAUCGGUGCCAGAGGAACAGAUCACCCAUGAUUCCAGGGGAGAAGUCGCCCUGAUGCUGCUGCCCAUCCUGCUUCCUCCGCCUGUCUAUAAAAAGGGCAGGAAAUUGGUUCGGGCGAGCAUACAGGAGUCAAAGAGGGCCUUUAUUGAUGUGAAGCCUGUUGGAACUAACAUGGUGGAGUAUUUGGAGCAGGCCGAAUCGCUCAGGGCCUAUCCAUAUGUGCUCCUGCUUAGUGAUGGCAUUUUGUGUUCCCAGGCAUUUGCCAUCAUAUCGGGCAAAGCCAUUCCCUC